GCUGCUGUAGCUCAGUGGUAGAGCGUGGGAUUGCAGUUCCUGCAACUAUCCUAAGGUCCGUUGUUCGACCCAGCGUAGCAGCU
rfam:Aureobasidium pullulans var. melanogenum CBS 110374 unplaced genomic scaffold scaffold_8, whole genome shotgun sequence.